GCUUCCCCGCCCGGCCGCCGCCAUGAUGAGGAGGUCGGCGCGGCUGUGCUGCGGGCAGGCAGCGGAGAGGGCUCGCGGCGAGGGCUCCAGCUUACCCCGCCGCCGCGUCGCGUGCACGGAGCGCUUCAGAGGUUUGGAGGGGGCCGGAACCUCAAAAGCAACUGGAUGAGCACAACGCGGACGCCCCGGAGAAGCGGCGCAAGCGGGCCCAAAAUGGUUGCUGAUCAGACGAGUGGCAUCUCUCGCCCCCCUACCGCGGGAAUUGGGACCUCCAGACUGUGCCUGGGGGAUCGGCAAGUGGUUCCCCUCUGGUUUUUUCGGCGCUGCCUUCCCGGUGGUAUCCUCACUCUCUCUCUUUGAAAUGACCUCUGCUUUCCUAUCUCUAACUCUUCCCAGAUAUUUGAAAGCAAGUUUUUGUACAAAGCAACAUAUGAAUGUAUUCAGCCAUUCGAUCGUUCGGCGAACAUUUCUAGGUGUCUCGUGCUGUGCCAGAUAUUGUUCUGAGUGCGCUGAAGAUGCACCUGUUAGCAAGACAAAGUCCUGGCUCCCACGGAGCUUAUUCGAAGCAAUAGGGGCCCCCAAGCAGGUGCCUGAGAAGUAGGGAGGGGUGGACAGUGGGAAAACAACCUAACGGUGGAGACACACGAGGGGUCUUUUUUUACUUUUAGAAACGGGGGUGGGUGGUCACCCUAUGUUGCCUAGGCUGGUCUCGAACUCCUGGGCCCAAGCGAUCCUCCCGACUCAGCCUCCCAAAGUGCUGGUAUUACAGGACACCAUGCCCGGCAGAGGGGUCGUUUUUGUUGUUUUUUUAGUGUCGUCAGGAGACUCCCUCCAUCAGAAUUACUCAGGCUGAUUGUUUUGAGUCCUGGGACCCAGUUGGUAUCCAGAAUCUUGGCUUGUUUGCCUAGGAACCUGCAUUUUCACAUCCCCAUCUCCACACCCCUGGUGAUUCUUAUGCAUAUAAUAAUGUGAAAAGCAUUGCAUUGAAGAAUUGCUAAAGGGUGUCAGAAAACGGAUUAACAAAAUCAGGAAGCUUUAAUUUUCAAGAUUCUAUUAACCUCAAAAUUCAACAUAUCCAAAAAUUGAAUGUCUUUUUCUCCAGUGUUUUCUAGGAGAGUGCCAACACUAGCCACCCAAGUGCUCAAGCCAGAAACCUGGAAAUGAUCCAUUACUCUUUCCUCUGUCUCUGGAGUCCCCAUGUUAAAUUAGAUGUGUUUGUUUGUGAGACAGAUUCUCACUCUAUUACCUAGGCUGGAGGGCAGUGGUGCAAUCAUUGUUCACUGCAGCCUCGACCUCUCUGGGCUCAAGGAUCCUCCCACCUCAGCCUCCCCAGUAGCUGGGACUACAGGUCCCCACCACCACGCCCGGCUAAUUUUUGUAUUUUUAGUAGAGAUGAGGUUUCAUCUUGUUGGCCCGGGCUGGUCUCGAACUCCUAGGCUCAAGUGAUCUGCCUGCCUUAACCUCCCAAAGUGCUGGGAUUACAGCCGUGAGCCACUGCACCCAGCCCCAAUUAGAUUUUUAAAACUGUUGUUCCCUGUCAGUUCUUACUCUGGUUCAGGCUACUGUCAUCUCUCCUAGAGACACUGCGGUAGACUCCUCUUGGUCUCCCUGCCACCGAAAUUGCCCUCUCCAAAUCCACUACAGCUUGAAUGGUCUUUCAAGAAAGAAAAUCAUGUUUUUUCCCUGUUUAAGACUCUUAAAAAGAUCUGAUUAACACGUAGGAUAAAGUCUAAAAUUCUUUGAGGUGGCUACAGGGCCAUUGGUGAUCUCAUCCCUGUUGCCAUCUCUGACCUCAUCUGCCACAGAUAUUUCUCAGGCUACACUCAAAACUGGGAAGCUCUCAGGUCAUUUAAGCCUGGAAAUUGUGCCACCUCACAACUGUUGCAAGGGCUGUUCCCUUUGCCCAUAACUUCAUUUCUCUCUACACCAUCUAUGCACUUACUUGAAUCCUCACCUGAAUAAUUCUUACCAUUCUUUCAGAUCCCAACAUUAAUACCAUCGCCUCCAGGCAGCAUUUUUUCAUCUCCCAAGAUUGGGUGCAUUAGACCCUUUGUCAUCACACCCAGUACUCCCCACGUUUAUUGAGCGCUCACGAUGCGUCAGGCCCUAGUGGAAGCCUUUAUGCACAUUAUCUUCUUUCUCAUUUAAUUAUCAAGUAGAGCCCACAAGGUAGGUACUACCUUUUUUUUAACUUUUGAGACAGGGUCUCACUGUAUCUCCCAGACUGGAAUACAGUGGCGCAAACACAGCUCACUGCAGUCUCAUCCUGGGCUCAAGCAAUCCUCCCAUCUCAGCCUCCUGAGUAGCUGGGACCACAGGCAGAUGCCUGUUGCCCAGGCUGGUCUCCAACUCCUGGGCUCAAGCCGUUCUACCUUAGCCUCCUAAAGUGCAGGGAUUACAGGUGUGCAACUGUGCCCGGCCUGGGUAGUUACUAAUAUUAUCCCAUUUUACAGAUGAAGAAACAAGGACAUAUAGGGGUUACUUGCCCAAACCCAGACAAUAAGCUAGAUCUGAAAGUCAUCAGCCUGACCUCAGAGUUGUACUUUUAACCAUUAUCAGGGUCUCAGGCCAGUACCCACUGAUGAAACACAUAAGUAACUUAGUGGGUCAUUACCAACAUUUCAUUAAAGAAAUAGAAAAUGGCAGAGAACAUCAAACUUAGUAAGGCUCUUGUUUCGUGAAACUUGUCAGAUUCUCUAAUAUGAUAAAUACUAAAUCUUACAAACAUUGAAAAUACAAAAUUAAACAAAAUAUUACCAAGGUUAACACAAAAGUAUGAAUACUGCAGAUCUGAUUUAUUUUACUAUCCUCAUCUUUAAUGCAGAACCUUCUUAGGAUUAAAUGACAUUUACCAUUCUGAGCAAACUGAGGUUACUGCCCCAAACGGACUGGGCUUACCUUUGCAGGAGAACAGGGGAGGCUGUGUUUUGGCUGGAGAUUUUUGGCUAAGAGUCAAGACACAGAGAUUCUUCUGCUACCACUGUGAACACAUCAAGUCCCUUUCACAUAGAUGCUGUUUCCACAAGGGUCUCCCCACACCCUUCCCUACAGAUUAGAUUCCCGUGAUGCCUUAUUUAAUUCUUGUUGGAUCUGUUGAUUUGGUUAUGAAGUAGGUGAAAUUCUGGUAACCUCACCCAGGUUCCUUCCCCUCUUGAUUAGAUCCAGCCAGUCUGUUCGCUGGAUGAUUAAAUUUGGCAUUCAUUUUUCUGUGCUUUCCCUAUCUGCUACUAUCCUAAAGUCAUUCUAAUGACCAAAAAAGGUGCCUUGAGCCAGACUGUAGAGGGUUCUAAUGGCCUCCUUAGAAAUUGUGUUUUUUUUAGAGACGGGGUUUCACCAUGUUGCCCAGGCUGGUCUCGAACCCCUGACCUCAGGUGACCCACCCACCUCGGCCUCCCAAAGUGCUGGGAUUACAGGCCUGAGCCACCAUGCCUGCCAAGGAACUGGUUCUUAGUAGGCAAUAGACAGUUGACAAUUUUGAGCUAAGCACUAAGGUCAUAGGAGUGUAGAUUCACCAGGGAGUGAGUUGGGCUUCUGGUCUCUAGAGGGCGCUCAAGGCUUCUCCCUCCCCACCCUCUUCCUUCCCCCAAGGUGGAGGUAGGAUGGUGAAGAAAUUUCAUCUCCCCACCACCAAACACACACAAAGGAAGAAAAUCUUACUAAAAUUGGAGAAUAUGGAAUAACAUUUUCUUGGGAUGGAGCCCUUAAAAGAUAACACGUUCAACAGAAAGUGCUGCGUCUUUCCCGUUCUUCAACAUACUCUGAGUGGUAACAAGGGCUGCCCUUGCCUUUCUCAGAGGCAGCCCAGCCAGCUUGUUCUCUUUCCCUCUCCCACAAGGUAGCCAGGCCCUAAGGCUAUGGCCCACAGAAAAAGUCUUAGCAAGGCCCCGGGCUUGGGGCAAAGAGGCUGUGGAUUUGUCUUUCUCUCUACUUUUUCUGGUUAGUGUGCCUCUAUCCCACUCGGAAGAAAAGUUCCAAGACUCAAAUUUGGGCAUUGAUGUGGGGAGGAUAGACAGAGAUGACCAGAAUCCAGCCUAUCUUUCCUGACUUCUGCAUUGUGGUUCAUACCCAGCUAAUAAUAAAGUGUUCCUUUCCCUGGUGUGUCAUUGCACAUGUACUCCCCACACUCCUGAUGAGUAGAGAUGGCUGGCCAAGACAGGAUUCAGACAUUCCCACAUCCCCAACCAAACAUCCUCUCCAUACCAUCUUAUUAAUCAGUCUUUGAACAAUUUCCUAAACUCCCUAACAGGUUGGAGAUGGCUGGAAGAAAUGAAAAGAAGAACGCCAACAAAGGCGAUAAAGAAAAAUUCAACACUGCUUGAUAACUGAUGAGAUAGUGAAGGAGUAGGAGGGCAAAAGUCAGAAGUAAUUCCAGGUGUUCAAGAACUAAAUGCUGAAGAGAUGUUAGUGUCGUUGACGGUCUUCUAAUGGGAAGUGAAUUUCAAUAGAAAGAGGAUGUGUUUGGUUUCAGACAGACCGAGUGACUGGUGACAACAGGAAAGCCACGUGUUUGGAGCAGAUUACUCGGUACAGUCAGCAGCUGGAAUGGAAGUGAAGAAGGCCCAGCAGAGCAUCAGACCUGAGUGCAAACUAUGGUGGUGUUGGUGGAAUAGAGGGAAGGGAGAGAUUUGAGAGACAUUGGGAAGAAAGGUUUUGGUUUUUGAGACAGAGUCUUGCCCUGUCAUCCAGGCUGGAGUGCAGUGGCAUAAUCUUGGCUUACAGCAAACUCCACCUCCCGGGUUCAAGCAAUUAUCAUGCCUCAGCCCCCUAAGUAGCUGGAAUUACAGGCAAGUGCCACCACAUUCAGCUAAUUUUUGUAUUUUUAGUAGAGACAGGGUUUCACCAUCUUAGCCAGGCUGGUCUCAAACUCCUGACCUCAGGUGAUCCACCUGCCUCGGCCUCCCAAAGUGCCGGGAUUACAGGUGUGAGUCACCAUGCCCAGCCACCAGAAGUUUAAUCAAGGCUCAGAGACUGAUUCCAGUUUGAGUUUUCUAAUAACUGUCUAAUACUUAGCUAAUAGCUUUGGACAGUUGCUCUUUUUAAAAUGAGAUCAUUCAAUCAUUGCAUUCAUCUUUGGGUAUGACUCACUAGUCAACAGAGUCCCCCUUCUGUAGAAACUGCCUCAUUCACAGAGAUGACCUCCACCAGUCAUGCCUAUAUUUGAGACCCUGUCUCUCUUUAUCCCCCAUUGCUGCGUGAUUCAAGGGUGGUCACCUGACCCAGGCAGUGCCAAGUUUAUUCUCUGUCUUGGGAAUUUAGAAUGUUUGUUUGGCUAAGAGACACAGAAACUGGAAGCUGGAGCUGAUGAUGGAGCUGAUCACGCUAAUGAUGGAGCUAUAGAGAUAAGAUGCAUGAACACCACCGAGGUCCCCAAGAUUGCCAUAUUCCUGCAGUGCCUUCUGGCCACAGAUAGUUGGUCCAGAAGCAGGUUCCUGACUCAACCUGGGCCAAUUAGAGCCUUUCACGGAGAUUUUGAAAUCAAAGUUGAGAUCUCUCUUUCUCUCUAUGCCCUUUGGUGUAUGUGUACUUGAGCUACAAGUUACCCAACUUUGGAAGCUGUAGACAGAGGCAAUUUUCCACUAAAUGAAGUGAGAAACAGAAAGUCCAUCAUUAGUGAGAGAGGAGCAAGGCAGAUGCACACAGAGAAGCAGAUAGAGGGGAAGCGGGCGGGAGUGGGGCGGGAGUUCCUGGAGUCCCCACAGUGCUCUAGUUUCUGAUUCUCUUCCUAAGACCCACAGGAUUCCUGCCUUUGGGUUUCUUAAGUUCCUGAAUAGCUCCUGAUUGCCUUUGUCUUUUUUACGAAAGUCCUUUGAGCAUGGUUUCAGGUGAGCAGACAGUCCUAACCUAAAGAGCUGUAACAAAUACACGUGGGCUGUGUGUGAGAUUCGGGGAGAGGCACCAGGGAUCCAGUGUGGGUCAGGCGUGGUGCCGCCCUCAAGGAACUUAGUGGGGAGAAAAUGAAGUCUGUACUUCAAUAACUACAGUGCAGGCUAGGAAGAGAACACCCUUAGAGAUGUGCAAAUCAAGCUCUUUGGGAGUUUAGAGGAGGCCUAGGACUGCUAAGGAAAGGCUGGGACUAGGAAGAGGUAAGCAAGUCACUGAGGAGGCAAAAUUUAAGAAGCCACCCACUCUCAGGGUGUGUGAAUGCAGCGUUGGCACUUGCAUGACCCUGAGAAUGAGCAACCCCUUAAAUGUAUCUUAGGCACCUUGCCAGACUCACUUUUAGCUUGCUGGACUAAUUGUGGGGAUCAGUAGGCCUUCAGAGGAAAGUUAGUGUCUGAGCUGAACUGAAGGAUGGGGUGGUUUUGGACUUGGUGGCAAUGUCAUCUACCUCAAGGUAAAGUAACAAUAUGGAAAACGCUCCCGUGAAAAUUCACAAGGUCUGUUCUAGGAUCAUCAGGCUCUUCGGUGUGACUUAAGAGUUCAGAGCAUGAAGGAGGAGGGGGCAGUAAGAAAAAUGGAGAGAACGUAGCAUCAGAUUCUGCAGGCAAGGAGAAAAUUGCUAAGCUGGGAAAUAACAUAAUCAGAGCGGUACUUAAGAUGAAUCUAACGGAAUAGCAUGAAAUAAAGGAAAGGCUAAGGAGAGGACAAACAGGAGGCUAUUGUGGCAAUCCAGGCGUGAAAGUCUAAACUAAUCAGCACUGGGAAUAGAGAUGCCAUAGGAAAAAUAAUACAUCAUUAAUAUAACUUGGCAAUUGAGUAGAUGUUGGAGACAAGAGAGAAAUCAGAAACACUGCUAAACACUAUGCAGCUAUAACAAAGAAUGAGAGAGCAUUCAGUAAGAUCACAUCCAAGAUAUGUACAUGAAAAACACAAGGGAUAGAACUGUGUAUAUGGCAAGCUAUCACUUGCAUUUUUUAUUUUUUAAAUGGUAUUUAUUUAUUUCUUGUUUUUUCCUUUUUUUAAGACUAAAAAAUCAAUUAUAAAAUCCUCAACCACUUGACUUUUUUUUUAAGUUCCUGGGUACAUGUGCAGGACGUACAGGUUUAUUAUAUAGGUAAACGUGUGCUAUGGUGGUUUGCUGCACCUAUCAACCCAUCACCUAGGUUUAAGCCCCGCAUGCAUUAGCUCUUUUCCCUAGUGCUCUUCCCCCACCAUCCUCCCCUGACAGGCCCCGGUAAGUGUUGUUCCCCUCCCUGUGUUCUCAUUGUUCAGCUCCCACUUAUAAGUGAGAACAUGUAAUGUUUGGUUUUCUAUUCCUGCAUUAGUUUGCUAAGGAUAAUGGCUUCCAGCUCCAUUUAUGUCCCUGUAAAGGACAUGAUCUUGUUUUUUUAUGGCUGCGUAGUAUUCCAUGGUGUAUAUGUACCACAUUUUCUUUAUUCAGUCUAUCAUUGAUGGGCAUUUGGGUUGAUUCCAUGUCUUUGCUAUUGUGAAUAGUGCUGCAAUGAACAUACGUGUACAUGUAUCUUUAUAACAGAGUGAUUUAUAUUCCUUUGGGUAUACACCCUGUAAUGGGAUUGCUGGGUCAAAUGGUAUUUCCAGUUCUAAAUCUUUGAGGAAUCGCCACACUGUCUUCCACAAUGGUUGAACUAAUUUACAUUCCCACGAACAGUGUAAAAGCAUUCCUAUUUCUCUGCAAUCUCACCAGCAUCUGUCAUUUCUUGACUUUUUAAUAAUCGCCAUUCUGACUGGUGUAAGAUGGUAUCUCAUUGUGGUUUUGAUUUGCAUUUCUCUUUUUUUUUUUUUUUUUUUUUGAGACAGUUUCAAAAACUUGUUGCCAAGGCUGGAGUGCAAUGGUGUGAUCUUGGCUCACUACAACCUCUGCCUCCUGGGUUCAAGUGAUUCUUCUGCCUCAGCCUCCCAAGUAGCUAGGAUUACAGGUGUAUGCCACCACGCCCAGCUAAUUUUUGUAUUUUUACUAGAGACGGGGUUUCACUAUGUUGGCCAGGCUGAUCUUGAACUCCUGACCUCAAGAGAUCUGCCCACCUCCGCCUCCCAAAGUGCAGGGAUUACAGGCGUAAGCUUCCACGCCCAGCUGAUGGUAGUUUCUUUUGCUAUGCAUAAGCUCUUUAGUUUAAUUAGAUCCCAUUUGUUGAAUUUUGCUUUUGUUGCGAUUGUUUUUGGCAAUUUUAUCAUAAAAUCUUUGCCCAUUCCUAUGUCCUGAAUGGUAUUGUCUAGAUUUUCUUCUAGGGUUUUUGUAGUUUGGGGUUUUACAUUUAAGGCUUUAAUCCAUCUUGAGUUAAUUUUUGUAUAAAGGUGUAAGGAAAGGAUCGAGUUUCAGUUUUCUGCAUAUGGCUAGCCAGUUCUCCCAUCACCAUUUAUUAAACAGGAAAUCCUUUCCCCAUUGCUUGUUUUGGUUUGUCAAAGAUCAGAUGGUUGUAGAUGUGCGAUUUUAUAUGUGCUGCCAAAGUGAGCACUAUUUAUUUAUUUUUUUAAACAGAGUCUCACUGUGUUGCCCAGGCUGGAGUGCAGUGGCAUGAACAUAGCUCACGUAGCCUUAUUUGCAUUUGUAAAAGGGAAAUAUGUUUUGUUUUGUUUUUUGAGACAGAGACUCACUCAGUCGCCCAGGCUGGAGUGCAGUGGCACCAUCAUGGCUCACCACAGUCUCAACCUCCCCAGGCUCAGGUGAUUCUUCCACCUCAGCCUCUGGAGUAGCUAGGAUUACAGGUGUGCGCCACUACACCCAGAUAAUUUUUUUUUUCUUGAGAUGGUGUCUCGCUCUGUCACCCAGGGCUGGAGUGCAAUGGUGUGAUCUCGGCUCACUGCAACCUCCGCCUCCCAGGUUCAAGUGAUUCUCCUACCUCAGCCUCCCAAGUAACUGGGACUACAGGCACCUGCCACCACACCCAGCUACUUUCUGUAUUUAUAGUAGAGAUGGGGUUUCGCCAUGUUGGCCAGACUGAUCUUGAACUCCUGACCUCAGGUGAUCCACCCGCCUCAGCCCCCCAAAGUGCUGGGGUUACAGGCACAAGCCACCGUGCCUGGCCCUUUUUUUUUUUUUUUUGUAUUUUUUUAGUAGAGACGGUGUUUCACUGUGUUGUCCAUGUUAGUCUUAAACUCUUGGGCUCAAGAGAUCUGCCCAACUUGGCUUCCCAAAGUGCCAUAAAGGCAUGAGCCACUGCACCUGGCCAUAAAAAGGAAAUAUGUAAACAAACAUCUUUGCUUACAUAUGUUUAUAUAUCCCUAGAGAAAUACGUACAAAAUUGAUGACAUUAAGUGGCCUGUUUAAGAGAAGUGGGGUGGCUGGGGGUCAGUAGUGAAAGAGAGUCUUUUUAGUGUUUAUAAUUUGAAUAUUUUAAAUCUUGAACCUUUUGGAUGAAUUAGCUAAUGAAGAAAAUUAGUUUAAAUUGCUUUUAAAAAUAAAUAAGUAUGAGCCGGGUGCGGGGGCUCAUGCCUGUAAUCCCAGCACUUUGGGAGGCUGAGGCGGGCGGAUCAUCUGAGGUCAGGAGUUCGAGACCAGCAUGGCCAACAUGGUGAAACCCCGUCUCUACUAAAAAUACAAAAAUCAGCCAGGUCUGGUGGCAGGCGUCUGUAAUCCCAGCUACUCAGGAGGUUGAGGCAGGAGAAUCGCCUGAACCUGGGAGGUGGAGGUUGCAGUGAACUGAGAUCACGCCAUUGCACUCCAGCCUGGGUGACAAGGGCGAGACUUCAUCUCAAGAAUAAAUAAAUAGGCCAGGCACGGUGGCUUACGCCUGUGAUCCCAGCACUUUGGGAGGCCGAGGCGGGCGGUUCACAAGGUCAGGAGAUCGAGACCAUCCUGGCUAACAUGGUGAAACCCCGUCCUACGAAAAAUAGAAAAAAAUUAGCCAGGUGUGGUGGCGGGCGCCUCCCAGCUACUGGGGAGGCUGAGGCAGGAGAAUGGCGUGAACCCAGGAGGCAGAGCUUGCAGUGAGCCAAGAUCACUCCACUGCACUCCAGCCUGGACGACAGAGCGAGACUCCGUCUCAAACAAACAAUAAAAAUAAAUAAAUAAAUAAAUAAAAUAAUUAAUAAAUAAAUAAAUAAAUAUGUAAUCCCAGCACAUUGGGAGGUCAAGGAGGGUGGAUCAUCUGAGGUCAGGAGUUCGAGACCAGCCUGGCCCAGAUGGUGAAACCCCGUCUGUACUAAAAACAUGAAAUUAGCUGGCUGUGGUGCUGCAUGCCUGUAAUCCCAGCUACCAGGAGGCUGAGGCGGGAGAAUUGCUUGAACCCGGGAGGUGGAGGUUGGAGGUGGAGGUGGCAAUGAGCUGAGAUCACGCCAUUGCACUCCAUCCUGGGUGAUAGAGCCAGACUCCAUCUCGAAAAAAAAAAAAAAAAGACAUAAAUAAAUAAAUAACCCCAAAGCCCAAAUACGAUACUGAAGUAUGGAGCUGAGUGACAGUAGCUCCAUUAACAAAAAUAAAGAACUCAGGAAGGGAAGUGCACUUGAGAAAAAUAAUGAUGUGUUUGGCUUGGGAUAUACAGAGUCUGAGAUGCCAGUUGUACAUACAUAAAAGAGAAGAAGCCCAUAAGCAACGGAGGAGGGCAAGCAAUCCAAUAGGAAGUUUGAAACAGCUUUGUCGGAAUAGUUACUGUGGAGUGGUGCGAGCAAAAGCCAGAAUUCAAGAGGCAGCAGGAUGAAGGGAAAGUGGGAAUGUAUUGGUAACUAGAGUAGUGUCCUUUAAGAGUGGUGGAUGGAAAGGGAGUGAUGGAGAGGUUGUGAUAGCUAGCGAAAGCUUGGGAUCAAGGCAGCAUGUAUGUAUUGGGCAUGAGGGAGAUUGAACCUAGUUAGAGGCUUCUGGAAAGGAAUCAGUAGAAAAAGAGGUUGAAGUGAUGUUUUUUGUUUUGUUUUUUAAAAAAAGAGAAUUAUGAAUGCAGGGGGUUAGAAAACAAAAAACAAGGGGAAGAAAUUGAUGGAGGAAGCGUUCUAAGGUGAGAAAGCACAAAAAUGGCGGGGGACUGAAAGGAUGUGGGGCACCUCCACGUUUGAGAGACUGGAGGGGAAGAAGGAAGGACAGGAGAGGGUGUGGACUUGAGUGUUUGCAGGGGCCCUGGGAGGGAGAGAGAUGUCAGGCUGGUUGGUCCCUGCUUUUCUAUGAGGCAAGAAACAAAGUCAUCUGCUGGAAGGGCCCCCCACCGCCAGUCAACAGGGAGCGGGCAGCAAUGGCGAAGGUGUGGAACAGGCCUUGUGGAGGGAGAAGGUGCCAAACAAGGGCAGGCAAGGGAGCUGACCGCCAGCGUUGAGGACCCAGCUGAAACUAGGACCCACUCAGAUAUGUUGACACCAGUUGACAUGGCUCAUGCUUUCUGGAAACUUCAACAGCAGACCACAGACAUUCAGGUGGCUAACGCAUACUUUUGUUUGCUUGUUUUGAGCUUUCUGUUCUGUUAAGUGUCAACUUAGGGUUUUCUUGCUGGUUGGUUGGUUGGUUGGUUUUUCUAAUUAUGGUAAAAUAUAUUGUAUUAGUUUUCUAGGGCUGCCUUAAAAUCCCACAAACUGGGUGGCUUACACAACAGAAAUGUAUUCUCUCACAGUUCAGGAGGCUGGAAGUCUGACAUCAGGUGUCAACAGGGUUGGUUUCUCCUAAGGCCCCUCUCCUUGGCUUGCAGACACAACCUUCUAACUGUGCACGUGCAUGUCUGGUAUCUCCUUCCCUCUCCCUCUCUCUCCCUUUGUGUCCCAGUUUUUGUUUGUUUGUUUGUGUGUUUUGAGAUGGAGUCUUGCUCUGUCGCCCAGGCUGAAGUGCAGUGGCAUGAUCUCAGCUCACUGCAACCUCCGCCUCCUGGGUUCAAGCGAUUCUUCUGCCUCAGCCUCCCAAGUAGCUGGGAUUACAGGUGCGCACCACCAGACCUGGCUAAUUUUUGUAUUUUUAGUAGAGACAGGGUUUCACCAUGUUGGUCAGGCUGGUCUCGAACUUGACCUUGUGAUCCGCCCACUUUGGCCUCCCAAAGUGCUGGGAUUACAAGCAUGAGCCACCGCACCUGGCCUAAUUUCCUCUUCUUAUAAGGAUGCCAGUCAUACUGAAUUAGGGUUCUCACUAACUCCAUUUUUACUUAAUUACCUCUUUAAAGGCCCUGUCUCCAAAUAGUCACAUUCCGAGGUACUCAGGAUUAGGGUGUCAGGAUUCAAAUUGGCAGGAAGUGGGACGCAAUUCAGCUCAUAACAUACGCAUGACAUAAAUGUACCAUGUUAACAAUUUCGAAGUGUAUAGGUCAGCGUUUUUUGGGGGUUUUGUCUUUGCCUUUGUUUUUUAUGUAUUCAUGAUGGUUUGUGUGUCUUACUGCUUACUUGCUUUCUGUAACAUGAUGAUAUCCCAGGCAAAAAUAAGAUGUCUCAGGCUCAUUCUGGCCACAUACUAACAAUCAGCAUUCCUAUAAAAAGCCCAGGUUCCAGUUAGUGAGGAAUAUUUAUAGACUGCAAUUUAGACACUGGGAGAGAUCAUGACUACUGGGUUGUCAUUUCAAUGGACAGUGCUAUGAAAUAAGUAUUUUUGAAAACAACGAAAAUAGUUUAUAUCGAUAUUUCUGAUUCAAAUUUAACCAUCCAAUUGUUUAAUUAACCUUACUGAUUUUUUACCUAUAUCACUUUUCUCUUACACUGAAAAUAUUAGUUCUAAUAACAUUAAGACAAUUACCUAUUUGCUUUAUAAUGUAUGUAAAAUAGCUUCAAAGUAAUAAUCUCAAUAUUACUAUUUACAGCAAGACUAUUGAGGAAAUUGUGAGAUUUCUUUGCAUCUUUGUGUGCUUUAAAAAAAUUUUCCACUAAGGAUGUAUAGUCAAAAUACUAUGGUCUUGGCAGGGCAUGGUGGCUAACGCCUGUAAUCCCAGUGCUUUGGGAGGCUGAGGCAAGAGCUUGAGCCUAGGAGUUUGAGACAAGCCUGGGCAACAUAGGGAGACUGUCUCUACAAAAAAAAAAAAAAGUUUGUUUUGUUUUUUUGAGACAGUCUUGCUCUGUCGCCCAGGCUGGAGUGUAGUCGUGCAAUCUCGGAUCACUGCAACCUCCACCUCCUGGGCUCAAGCGAUUCUCAUGCCUUAACCUCCUGAGUAGUUGAGACUACAUACUUGGCUAAUUUUUGUUCUUUUAGUAGAGACAGGGUUCCACCAUGUUGGCCAGGCUGAUCUCGAACGCCUGACCUCAAGUGAUCCACCUGUCUCAGCCUCCCAAAGUGCUGGGAUUACAGGUAUGAGCUACAGCCCCUAGCCAACAACAAAAAAAUUUUUUUAAGUAGCCAGGCAUGGCGGGAUGCACCUGUAGUCGCAGCUACUCAGGAGGCUGAGUCAGGAGGAUUGCUUGAGCUCAGGAGUUUGGGGCUGCAGUGAGCCGUAAUCGUACCACUACACUCCAGCCUGGGUAACAGAGCAAGACCCUGUGUCAAGAAAAAAAACAAAAAAGAAAAAACUGUGGUCUAAAGACACUUGAAAUAAUCUUUUUCUCUUUGUUAUAAUACUAACUUGAGAUACACUUAAGCUCAUUAUUCCUGUUGUGUUAAAAAAUGUGUAUUGCCCACUUAAGUGUCUGCAUACUACUGUGGAAAGUCAUGGAAUUUUUUUAGUGUAAUUUUUGAAUUAUUUUGGAUUUUCUUCUUUUUUUCUUUCUUUUUACUUUCCUGUGUUAUUUUAGGAGGGAUAAUUACUUUAUUGGUUGUUUAGUAUUUUUUGAGAGACAAGGUCUCACUCUACCCAGGCUGGAGUGCAGUGGUGCAAUCACAGUUCACUGCAGCCUUGAACUCUUGGCCUCAAGCAAUCCUCCUCCCACCUCAGACUCCUGAGUAGCUGGGACUACAAGCACAUGCCAGCUAAUUUUUCUCUUUCUUCCUUCCUUCCUUCCUCCCUCCCUCCUUCCCUCCCUCCCUCCUACCUUCCCCUCCCCUCCUUUCUUUCUUUCCUUUUUUUUUUUUUUUUUUUUUUUAAGAUACAGGGUCUUCUCAUGUUGCCCAGGCUGAUCUCAAACAAUCCUCCUGCCCCGCCUCAGCCUCCCAGAGUACUGGGAUUACAGGUUUGAGCCACCAUGUCCAUUCCAUCUCUACCUUUUAAUUGGGAUAUGUACACUGUUUCCAUUUAAUUGAUGAUUGAUAUGGUUGGCUUUAAAUUUAUCAUCUUUUCUUUUUUUGAGACAGAGUUUUGCUCUUGUUGGCCAGGCUGCAGUGCAAUGGCGCAAUCUCGACUCACUGCAACCUCUAGCUCCCGGAUUCAAGCGCUUCUCCUGCCUCAGCCUCCCAAUUAGUUAGGAUUACAGGCACGCACUACCAUGCCCGGCUAAUUUUUGUAUUUUUAGUAGAGGCGGUGUUUCACCAUGUUGGUCAGUCUGGUCUCAAACUCCUGACCUCAGGUGAUCCACCCAUCUUAGCCUCCCAAGUGCUGGGCUUAUAGGCGUGAGCCACCACGCCAAGCCUAAUUUUUUGUAUUUUUAGUAGAGAUAGGGUUUUGCCGUGUUGGCCAGACUGGUCUCGAACUCCUGACCUCAGGUGAUCCGCCUGCCUUGGCCUCCCAGUGCUGAGAUUACAGGCGUGAGCCACUGUGCCCAGCCUAAAUUUAUCAUCUUACAAGUUGUUUUCUUUUUGUUCCAUGUGUUUCUUGUUCCUUUUCUCCAUUUGCUUGUUUUCUUUGGGACUGAGGGUUUAUUUUUCUUUUACAAUUCCUCGUUAUCUCUACUAUUGGCUUAUUAGCUAAACCUCUUUGUGUAUUUAUUUAUUUAUUUUUUUAGUGGUUGCUCUAGAUUUUACAAAUGUACACUUUUAUCACAAUCUCCUUUCAUUUGAUAUCACUUCACAUUUAAUAUAAGAACUUAACUGUAAUAUAAAUCAAUUUCUGCCAACCUGUCCCUUCUGCUAUUUUUGUCAUAGGUUCUUUUCUACAUAUGUUAUAAAUGCCACAGUACAUUAGCCUAUUUUCUCUAACAGCGAUUAUAUUUGACUAAUUUUAAAAUGAGGGUAGCAUAUGAAAAGAUGCUCAUUAUUUGUCAUCAGAGAAUUGCAAAUUUAAACCACAGUGGGAUACCACUACAUACCUAUUAGAAUGACUAAACUCCAGCCGGGCACGAUGGCUCAUGCCUAUAAUCCCAGCACUUUGGGAGGCUGAGGUGGGUGGAUCACGAGGUCGGGAGAUCCAGACCAGCCUGGGCCAACAUGGUGAAACCCCAUCUCUACUACAAAUACAAAAAUUAGCCAGGCGUGGUGGCAUGUGCCUGUAGUCCCAGCUACUCAGGAGGCUGAGGCAGGAGAAUUGCUUGAACCCAGGAGUUGGAGGUUGCAGAGAGCUGAGAUCCUGCCACUGCACUUCAGCCUGGGAGACAGAGCAAGACUCUGUCUCAAAAAAAAAAAAAAGAAUGAUUAAAAUCCAAAAAACUAACAAUACUAAUUGCUGGUAAGGACAACAAGCAACAGGAGCUCUUAUUCAUUACUGAUGCGAAUGUAAAAUGGUACAGCCACUUUAGAAAACUGGCAGUUUCUUACAAAUCUAAACUUAGUCUUAACAUAUGAUCCAGCAAACGCACUGCUAGGUAUUUACCAAACUAAUUUUAACAUUUAAGUCCUCUCAGAAACCUACAUGUGAUUGUUUAUAGCCACUUUAUUUUUAUUUUUUUGAGACAGAGUCUCACUCUGUUACCCAGGCUGGAGUGCAGUGGUGUGAUCUCGGCUCACUGCAUCCUCCACCUCCCAGGUUCAAGUGAUUCUUCUGCCUCAGCCUCCGGAGUAGCUAGGACUACAGGCAUGCACCACAACACCUGGCUAAUUUGUGUAUUUUUAGUAGAGAUGGGGUUUCUCCAUGUUGGCCAGGCUGGUCUCGAACUCCUGACCUCAGGUUAUCUGCCCGCCUUGGCCUCCCAAAGUGCUGGGAUUACAGGCAUGAGCCACUACGCCUGCCCUGGAUGCACCUUUUUAAAUUGUAGGUUUUAGUUUACAUAAUAAUUGUACAUAUUUUAUGGGGUACACGAUGAUGUUUCAACAUAUAAUGUAUAAUGAUGAGAUCUGGGUAAUUAGCAUAUCCAUCAUCUCAAACAUUUAUCAUUUCUUUGUGUUAGGAACCUUCAAUAUUCUCCUUCUACCUAUUUGAAACUAUAUAUUAUUGUUAACUGUAUUGUACUCAAUAUGUAUAUUGAAACUGUAUAUUACUGUUAACUGUAGUCAUCCUACAGUAUUAACUGUAGGGCAUUCUAAGUGCACUAGAACUUAAUUCUCUUAUCUAGCUGCAGUUUUGUAUGCUGAGCUUGCAGUGUCUUACAGUGCCAGAAAGAAGGAAGUACUCAGGAAGAACACACACACACACACACACACACACACACACACACACCCCACACACACACCCGAUGUGGUUAUUACAAAGGGACAUGGGAGCCAACUCAAAGACCUCCCAGUGGCCAAAGCUGGAACAAUGUGGGGCAAUAAAAAUAGAUGACGUGGCCAGGCACAGUGGCUCACACCUAUAAUCCUAGCAUUUUGGGAGGCUAAGGAGGGAGAAUCUCUUUAGCCCAGGAGUUCAAGACCAGCCUGGGCAACAUAGGGAGAACCCAUCUCUUAAAAAAAUUAAAAAUUAUCUCAUCUGAAGGCUCUAGGAGAUAAGAAAAAUAAUAAUAAAUUAAAAUUAAAAUUAAUUUAAAAAUUGGCCAGGCAUGGUGGCCCAUGUCUGUGGUCCCAGCUACUUGGGAGGCUGAGACAGGAGGAUCACUUGAGCCUGGGAAGUUGAAGCUACAGUGAGCUAUGAUCCCACCACUGCACCCCAGCGUGGGUGAUAGAGAGUGAAACUCUGUCUCAAAAAAGAAAAAAAUAGAUGAAGUGGUAUUGGAUUGUAAUUCAAAGUAUAAAAUAGAUAUCCAUGAGUUCAUAGUGAUAUAAACAAAUGAAUGAAUGAGGAAAGACAAAGCUCCUAUGCAGAAUUCUAAAUAAUGUAUGUAGAUACUCUGCCUUCAAGGAGAUGGAGUAUAACUCCCCUGUCCUUAAGUGUGGGCUGAGCAUAGUGACUUUCUUCCAAAAAAUACAAUUUGUAAAGGGACUGAGGAAAGAGUAAUUUUACAGACUGUCCGAGCCAGGCGACUGAGGUUAACAUCAGCAGUGAUCAUUCAUAUUGAAAGUAGGUACCCUUGAUAUGAUGUUAUGUGAAUGGUACUUGACUUCUAUGGUUCUAAAAAACCCAUCACCCAGUCUAAUCAUAAUUUUCUCAUGAGACAAAUUCCAAUUGGGGGACAUUCCACAGAAUACCUUAUCGGUACCCCUCAAAACUGUCAAGGUCAUCAAAAAUAAGGAAAGUCCAAGGAACUGUUGCAGCCAAGAGGAACCCAAGUAGAUGUGUUGGAUAAAUGUCAUAUGGUGUCCUGGACGGGAUCUUGAGACAAAAAAGAAGGACGUUAGGUAAAAACUAAGGACUUUUGAAUAUGGUGUGGGCUUUAUUUAUUUAUUUAUUUAUUUAUUUAUUUAUUGAGACAGGGUCUCACUCUGUUGCCCAGGCUGGACUUUUGAAUAAGGUGUGGGAUUUAUUUAUUUAUUUAUUUAUUUAUUUAUUUAUUUAUUUAUUUAUUUAUUGAGACAGGGUCUCACUCUGUUGCCCAGGCUGGAGUGCAGUGGCACGAUCACGGCUCACUACAGUUUGACCUCCUCAGGCUCAGGUGAUCCUCCUACCUCAGCCUCCCAAGUAGCUGGGACUACAGGCAUGUGCCACCAUGCCUGACAAAUUUUUGUAUUUUUUGUAGAUAACGGGGUUUUGCUAUGUUGCCCAGGCUUGUCUUGAAACUUCUGAGCUCAAGCAAUCCACCCACCUUGGUCUCCCAAAGUGCUGGGAUUACAGGCAUGAACCACUGCACCCGGCCCUGAAAUGUGGACUAUAGUUAGUAAUAAUGUAUCAAGACUUUUGUUUUUCAGUCUGGCAUGUAUCUUAGAAGUCAUCUGUCCCAUUCAUACAAGAAAAAAGCUGAACGAACUGAAAAUUAAUAACUCUUCUUAGACCCAUCAGAGAACUGAGGUCACAGGGCAAACUACUGCCCCCAACACUGGAGGGGCAGACUGGAAAAUACAGAGAAACAGAGGGGUGUGUGUGUGUGUGUGUGUGUGUGUAUGUGUGCAUGUGUGUGUGAUGGAGUCUUGCUGUGUCACCCAGUCUGGAGUGCAGUGACUCAAUCUCAGCUCACUGCAGCCUCCGCCUCCCAGGUUCAAGCGAUUCUUCUGCCUCAACCUCCCAAGUACAGGUGAACUGCCACCACACCUGGCUAAUUUUUGUAUUUUAAGUAGAGAUGAGGUUUCACCAUGUUGGCCAGGCUGGUCUCAAACUCCUGACCUCAGGUGAUCUGCCUGCCUCAGCCUCCCAAAGUGCUAGUAUUACAGACAUGAGCCACCACGCCCAGUCAGAGAAUCAGAAUUCUUUUUUUUUUUUUUUUUUGAGGUGGAAUUUUGCUCUUGUUGCCCAGGCUGGAGUGCAAUGGUGUGAUCUCGGCUCACUACAACCUCCACCUCCCGGGUUCAAGUGAUUUUCCUGCCUCAGCCUCCCUAGUAGCUGGGAUUACAGGCAUGUGCCACCACGCCCGGCUAAUUUUUGUAUUUUUAAUAGAGACAGGGUUUCACCAUGUUGGUCAGGCUGGUUUAGAACUCCUGACCUCAGGUGAUCCACCUGCCUUGGCCUCUCAAAGUGCUGAGAUUACAGGCCUGAGCCACCACGCCCGGCCAAGAAUCAGAAUUUACCGGAGCAGAAACCUCUGCAGCCUGGGAUAGGAGAACCUCAACUGUAAUUGCAGGAUUGCUAGAGGCUCAGCAUGGACAAGUUGUUUGUGAGUUUAAAACUCUGAAGGAGCCCAGUCUCAAUGGAGCACCCACACUUUUGUGAGUUUUACCUCUACCCCGUUCUCACAGUGAAAAUACGACAAAAAUCCUCUCAUGCUUCUGUCAGGGGAAAGGGGGAAAGUAGCCAUUUAGAAAUACACCUAGAGCAUUCUCUUCUUCCUAACAAGAGCAGCCCUCAAGGGAAACUAUUUCAUCAUAGCCUAACUGACAGGUUUUACCACAGCCUAACUGGGCUGGGGAAAGGAAAAUAUCCAACUCUGACCUCUUCUAGCCUUCUUGUCUCAUCUAAAGGGGGUAGUGGAGACUGAGAGGCACUUAUGAAGAUCACAGCUCAAGGGCACAGGCUCACUGAAAGACUGAGACCUGCGGGGCAUGGUGGCUCAUGCCUGUAAUCCCAGCACUUUGGGAGGCUAAGGCAAGCGGAUCACCUGAGGUCGGGAGUUCAAGACCAGCCUGACCAACAUGGAGAAAGCCCAUCUCUACUAAAAAUACAAAAUUAGCCGGGCGUGGUGGUGCAUGCCUGUCAUCCCAGCUACUUGGGAGGCUGAGGCAGAAGAAUUGCUUGAACCCAGGAGGCAGAGGUUGCCAUGAGCCGAGAUCGCACCAUUGCACUCCAGCCUAGGCAACAAGAGUGAAAUUUCACACCGUCUCAAAAAAAAAAAAAAAAAAAAAAAAAAAGACUGAGACCUACUCGUAGGACUUUAGAAUGCUUCCCCUUUCCUACAACUCAGGCAUCUGAACCAGACUCAGAUAUGGCAGGGAUGCUGGAAUGAUCAGACCAGGAAUUUAACAACUAUGACUAAUAUGCUAAGGGUGCUAAUGAAAAAGGUAGGCAACAUGCAAAAACAGAUGGGUAAUGUAAGCAGAGAGAUGGACAUUCCAAGAAUGAAUAAAAAAAUGCUAGAAAUAAAAAACAUUGUAACAAAAAUGAAGAAUGUCUUUAAUGGGCUUAUUAUACACUGGAUACAGCUGAGGAAAAAAAUCAGUGAGCUUGAAGAUAUGUCAAUAGAAACCCCCAAAACUGAAAUGUGGAGAAAAAAGACUGGGCCGGGCAGUGGCUCAUGCCUGUGACCCCACAACUUUGGGAGGUCGAGACCAGCCUGGGCAAUAUGGCAAUACCCCGUCUUUACAAAAACAAACAAACAAAAAUUAGCCAGGCAUGGUGGUGCACACCUAUAGUCUCAGCUACUUGGGCGGGUGAGAUGGAAGGAUGGCUUGAGCUUGGGAGGCAGAGGUUGCAGUGAGCUGAGAUCGCACCAUUGCACUCCACUGCACUCCAGCCUGGGUAACGGAGCCAGACCUUGUCUCAAAAAAAAAAAAAGAAAAAAAGAAAAAGAGACUGAAAAGAAUAACAGAAUAUCCAAGAACUUAGGGACAAUUACACAAGGUAUAAAUACACAUAAUGGGAAUACCAGAAAAAGAAGAAAGGAACAGAAGAAAUAUUUGAAGCAAUAAUGACUGAGAAUUUCCCAAGAUAAAUGUAUCAACAGUACCUUUCUUUUGGCUCUUCUCCAGCUAAAGAUAGGCCAGAAGUGCUGGGGAGUUACACCUCCAGAAAUAGUCCUCAGUCAACUGUCAGAUGGGCGUUGAAGGAUAACGACCCCAGCUUCUUUCCUCCGUAGUUGGGACGAUGUGAAGUGAGUUCUCCACUGUCUCCCCAAGUUCUUCAGCAGGAUCCAGCCUCGACACCCACAACAGAACCUUGCCCUAUUGCACACCCUCUGUUGGCUUAACUUCCCUUCCCCGUCUCGCUUUCCUAUUCCCAACAGAGGUUCCCAAGAUCACUUCCCAAAUAAAAUAUUGCAUGAAAAUUAUUGCCCACAGGAUUGCUUCUGGGGGAAUCCAACCCAGUCUAACAAGAUAUGUUCAUUAAGAUUUAUUACCUUUAUAAUAGAGAAAGAUAGAUAGGGAAAAAAUAAUCACAUCUAUAAGGUGUUUUCAAGCAUGAACCUAAAAAUAAGAUUUUAGCCAGACUCUAGUGUAUUCAUAUUAUCUGAGUAACCAGGCAUUGAUGAAUUUGGACAGCAGGGAAUGGAAAGGAUUUCUUAGCUAAAUGAGUUAGAGUACUUUAAGUUGCAUAUUUGAUAUUUUGGUACCAGGCCCGCUGUAAUGCAAAAGUUGGAUAGGAAAACUUGCAUUCUGGGUAUAGUCUCAUUAUCAACCAUGUGCCAUGUUUUUCUUACCUAAAGAGUAGAGAAAAUAAAAGUGUCCCCUUUAUGUAAAUAAGACUAUCAAGAGUGUAAACUGCUUCAAGGUGCUUGGAAUUUAAUCUAUAUUAUUAUGCUAUUUUUUGAACAGCUAAGUGAAAUUUACUUUGUAUUUUUAUCUGACAUAUAUUCACAGUGCUAAGUAUUUUAGAGAUGACCAUAAAUGCUGGGUAAAUAAUAAACUAUUUUCAAAUUAUAGAGAAAGUGACUAAAACUCUGAAUGAGAAAAAUAAUGUAUUUUACUUUAAAAUACAUUAAUGUGGAGGAAGAAAGAUUAGAAGGAAAUGUAUCAAAAUUAUAAAGCAAUUUAUGUUUAAAUGGAUGGGAGAGGUUAGGGGUUUUAUUUGUUUCUAGUUUCCGAAAUUUUGUUUGUAUGAUUAUAUUAUUUUCAUAAGGAAUACAGUAUUUUAGAAGAAUGAUUUGUAGAAACAAAUGAUAGCAGAUUUCAUCAAAGGAAAGUUACUCUAGGCCAGGCACAGUGGCUCGCACCUGUAAUCCCAGCACUUUGGGAGGCCGAAGCGGGCGGAUCACUUGAGGACAGUAAAGACCAGCCUGGCCAAUACAGCAAAACCCGUCUCUACUAAAACAUACAAACAUUUAGCUGGACAUGGUGGUGCAUGCCCAUAAUCCCAGCUACUUGGGAGGCUGAAGCAUGAGAAUCUCUUGAACGCAGGAGGUGAAGGUUGCAGUGAGCUGAGAUGGCGUCACUGCACUCCAGCCUGGAUGACAAAGCAAGACCCUCUCUACAAGGAAAAAAAAAAAAAAAAGGAAAGCUACUCUAAUAUUCUGCUGUCCUCUUGUUUACAUUUGACAUUUUCACAAUAAGAAAAGACUGGCCGGGCGCGGUGACUCAUGCCUGUAAUCCCAGCACUUUGGGAGGCCAAGGCGGGUGGAUCAUGAGGUCAGGAGUUCAAGAACAGCCUGGCCAGAAUGGUGAAACCCUGUCUCUACUAAAAACACAAAGAUUAGCCCGGCGUGGUGGCGGGUGCCUGUAAUCCCAGUUACUCAGGAGCCUCAGGCAGAGAAAUGCUUGAACCUGGGAGGCGCAGCUUGCAGUGAGCCGAGAUGGCGCCACUGCACUCCAGCCUGGGCGACAGAGCGAGACUCCAUCUCAAAAAAUAUGUAUAAAAAUAAAUUAAAAGAAGAUUCAGAAAACCACUGUGCAUAAUUUUGGCAGCCACUGGAUUAUUAAAUAGGGUCUCCUCAUUGAUUUUUAAGUAUGUAUUUCUAAUAAAUUUUUUUUUUUUUUUUUUUGAGACGGGGUCUCACACUGUCGCCCAGGCUGGAAUGCAGUGAUGCGAUCUCGGCUCACUGCAAGCUCCGCCUCCUGGGUUCACGCCAUUCUCCUGCCUCAGCCUCCCAAGUAGCUGGGACUACAGGCGCCUGCCAGCAUGCCUGGCUAAUUUUUUUGUAUUUUUAGUAGAGACGGGGUUUGACCAUGUUAGCCAGGAUGGUCUUGAUCUCCUGACCUCAUGAUCCGCCCGCCUCGGCCUCCGAAAGUGCUGGGAUUACAGGCGUGAGCCACUGCUCCCCGCCUCUAAUAAAUUUCUUAAAUGACAUUUAACAUCCGCCUUAAAUUUCUUAAAUGACAUCCGCCUCCCGGGUUCAAGUACACAAAUGAGAAGUGUAGAUGUCAAUGAAGUUUCAGUUAACUCACCUGUGUAAACUUCCACCCAGGAGAACUAUUAGUAGUAUGUCACCAGCACCCCAGAUUCCCCCCUCAACACCUGACUUCUAACACCAUAUAUUAGUUUUGCUUGCUUUUGAAGCUUAUAUAAACAGAAAUUUACGGUAUGAAUUAUUUUGUACCCUGCUCCUUUUGUUUAACAUAGUUUGUGAGAGUAACCAUAUCCUAUGUAGCUGUUAGUCAUUUGUACAAUAUACCAUAAUUUAUCUAGUCUAUGAUUCUGGACAUUGAAGGUGUUUCUGGUUUGGUAUUAUUCAUGAAGAAUGCCUGUAUAUUCUUGUGUAUGUCUCUGGAUGCACAUAAAUGUGCAGUUCUGUUGGGUGAAUACCCAGCAGUGGAAGUGCUUGAUUAUCAGCUAUGUGUAUGUUCAGUUUAGUAAAUAUUUCCAGUUUUCUAAGGAGUUUGCACCAGUUUCCACUCCCAUGAGCAGUGUGUGAAAGUUGUCAUUGGUCCACAUUUUUUUGCCAACACUUGACAUUGUCAGUCUUUCUAAAUAUAGCCAUGCUGGUAGGUGGGUGUGGUAUCUCAUGGUAGUUUCAAUGUGCAUUUCCUUGUUAACUAAAGAGGUUAAACACCUUUCACAUCCUUACUAUUUGUAUAAUUUCUCUUUUUUGGGGGGGGUGGGGAUGGAGUCUUGCUCUGUCACCUAGGUUGGAGUGCGGUGGUGUGAUCUCAGCUCGCUGCAAUCUCCACCUCCUGGGUUCAAGGAUUCUCCUGCCUCAGCCCCUGCAAGUAGCUGAGGCUACAGGCACUCUCCACCACACCUGGCUAAUUUUUGUAUUUUUAGUAGCGAUGGGGCUUCACCAUGUUCGUUGGCCAGGCUGGUCUUGAACUCCUGACCUCAGGUGAUCUGCCCGCCUAGGCCUCCCUCCCAAAGUGCUGGGAUUACAGGCGAGAGCCACCAUGCCCAGCCUCCUUUAAGGGACUUCUAGCCUGGGAAGGGAGCCAGACAUUUACACAGGGAAAGGUGAUCAGCAGCACUGACUGGCAGGAACUCUUAAUGCCAAAUGUAGUAAACACGA
rnacentral:lncRNA from 1 species